UUCCAUUCAUAUGAGUACCACAGUUCAUUAUCUCUUCACCAGUUGAUGGCUGACUCCAUGUCCUUACUACUGUGAUCAUAGCAGUGUUAAGCAUGGAUGGGCAGGUACCUCUGUAGAAGGAUGCAGAGUCCUUUGCCAACCCUUAUGCUUUAAAAAGGAGCAACCGGACAAGUCAUUCAGUUCCCUUAGGAAAUGCUUAUCAGCACCCGUCCUUACAUCCUGUGCACUUUACGGGAGACACAUUUCAUUUGUAACCAUGAUUGUUUCUUUCCCUAUGUCACAAGUCAACUUUAUUUGCAAACCACCGUGUGUAUUCUGAAGGAAGCUCUUGGGGUCAAAGCAAAUAUGACUUGAUGCAAGAUUGAGAUCACGUGGACGACUGUUCUUGGUACCCCCCCCCAAAAAAAAAUUAUGAAAGAAGAUACUAGAGAGAUGUCCGCCUCUGCCUCAGAACUCCCAAUUCCAGCCCCCUUAAACUUCAUGUGUGGAACGUUUAGAAGAUGAGGCCAUGCCGGGCAUCCCCCUGUAGACGCCAUCUGUGCUGCCUGUGCCCUCUGCUUCUGACCGUCCUGGGCUAGAAUCGUUUUUCUCUCUGUGGGUUCUAGGAUCUUUUUCUUUACAAAGGAGGCAGGCUGAGUCGCAGAAUAUGGAAUUCAUUCAGACUUUUGUGCAGGAAGGGCCUCCUGGAACCUUCCAAAGCCUUUGAGGUGAGUGUUAGAUUUAAGUCCUGGCCCUCCAUUUUCAUUUAUGAUAUACAAGAGUGAAGGAGCUGUGGAGGUAGGCUUCACCUUGUGUUUUCCUUGAUGGAGACAGACAGGGCUGAUUUUUUUUCCCCCACACUAGAAACAUCCCUUAUCACUCCAUGGUGAAAGGAAGGUGGGAUAUCAAGUAAUGGCUUCUGUAGAGCCUUGGAAUUGUGUGUUCCAAACGCCCAUUUUGUUGUUCAGCUACUAUGCUUUGCCUCUCGUCUGAGGUGGACUCAUAUUCUUAUGUUAGCUGAGCUUUCUUCUCAUCCAAGUUGAACAGGGUGGUUAGGUUUUUUUGUUUUUGUUUUUUGUUUGUUUGUUUUUGUUUUGCUUUAGUUUAACAGCUUGUUGAAACUGGCAAUAAUAUCUCAAAAUCAAGGCAAUCAGUAGUUCAUGUGUAGAACUUCAGGUAGAUACAUACAUUGAUGUUGAUAGAUGAUAGAUGAUAGAUGUUAACAAAACUUCCAGGAGUGUGCCCAGACGAAGGGUGAUGUGGCCUUAAAGACAGCAUGCAUGUUUGUAACAUUUGGAGUAGCCCAAAAGCCUGGGUCCUCUUCUGGAGAAAUCCACAUUUCACUGCAAAUGCCAUCGAUAAGGGGUGUGUAAUAGCCUGGGUGACUGACUGGCUUCUGUCAGUUGUCAAGCCCGGGAAUAAUUUGCCAAAGUUGAGGUGUUUUGUCUUAUGUAAAGGCCAUGGUGUGGUGGAAUUCCUAUCAUCAGGUCUUGUAAAAUGUGGAACAUCAUUGUCCCCUUUAUGAUCUAAGAGAGUAUGAAGUGUAUGUAUGUUUUUGAAAUGCUAUGACGGAUUUCUUGGAAUCCAUGCAUUUGGCCAAGAGAAUGGCAGAGAUGUUAGGCCAAUGGUUGUUAUGUGGCUGGCUCUCCCAGCUCCUCCCUCACCACCUCAAAAAAGAGAAUAAACAGAGAGGCGAAGUUAAACUUGAAUUUCUGUGCUAUGAAGGAGCGUCCACUCUAAUCUCCCAUCUCAGGAUGUUCUUCAGUUCCGCACUGGUGCCACAGAGGAUAGCUUGAGCUGCUGACAUUGUAACUUUUCCUUGGAUGAGUGUGUCUCUGUGUGUGCGUGUGUGUCUGUGUGUGUGUGUGUGUGUGUGUGUAAAAUUUCCAACCCUGCGUGUCGUGUUCAUUGUCUUGUCGAUUUGUGAACUGACUCGAACAGUGGAGGAGACAGUUAAAAGGGAGGAAAGCGACUGCCUAACCACUUCGCUCUAUCAAAAGUGCUAACCGUGCUUCCAUAGCUGGGACAAAUAAUGUCAGCAUUCAGGAGGGAUGCCCUUGAAUGAAAUGGUGUGUUAUCUCCUAAGAAAAUGUAUGACUAAUAAAAGACAUUUUAAAAAGU
rnacentral:lncRNA from 1 species